rnacentral:rRNA from 1 species
UACGAAGGGUGCAAGCGUUGUCCGGAAUUACUGGGCGUAAAGAGUUCGUAGGCGGUUUGUCGCGUCGUUUGUGAAAACUCACAGCUCAACUGUGAGCCUGCAGGCGAUACGGGCAGACUUGAGUACUGCAGGGGAGACUGGAAUUCCUGGUGUAGCGGUGAAAUGCGCAGAUAUCAGGAGGAACACCGGUGGCGAAGGCGGGUCUCUGGGCCGUAACUGACGCUGAGGAACGAAAGCGUGGGUAGCAAACAGG